rnacentral:rRNA from 1 species
UACGUAGGUGACAAGCGUUGUCCGGAUUUACUGGGCGUAAAGAGCGCGCAGGCGGUCGAUCAAGUCGAGUGUGAAAGCCCCCGGCUCAACUGGGGAGGGUCAUUCGAUACUGAUCGACUCGAAGGCAGGAGAGGGUAGUGGAAUUCCCGGUGUAGUGGUGAAAUUCGUAGAUAUUGGGAAGAACACCGGUGGCGAAGGCGGCGACCUGGUCCAUUACUGACGCUGAGGCGCGACAGCGUGGGGAGCAAACAGG